UGCUGGGGGCAGGAACCCAGAGGCCUCCAGACCUGAUCAGGAGGAGAAGCAAGAUGCACGGCUUUGGGCUCCCGGCCCCUCCGAGUCUGCUUUGUCCAUCUGUCAACGCAGAGGUCAACGCAGAGGUCGCCCAGAGGGUUCGGACUCUUUCUACGGCUUUGAGGUGACCGGGCCUGGCCCGCUGAAAACUUCCGGCCUGCCGUUUUCCCACCUGGGAAUGGGUUCGUCCUGGCGGCUCUGAUGGGAAUUCUGGGAACUUUUAUGAGUUUUGGUUGCAGAGCACUUUGUGUAUGUUGGAAAGAAGCUGCUAAUGUUACAAAUACACAUUUGAAAGUUGGUAGAAAGAUUUGACUUGAUAAAUGAACUCAGUACUCAGCGGGCAGAGCCCAGCUCUGCCACUCGGAUUUGAAUGUUUCUGAUGCCUUACGUAGAGAUUUGCACAACUUACGCGGUUUCCCAGGCCUCUGUGUUUCUCAGAUUGUGAUCAAAAAGGAGGAAAAAACUCCCUGCGUGUUUAGCUUUGCCCCUUUUUUCCUUCCUUAGGUUACUCCAGCCUCCCACACUGUGCUGCCCACAGCCUUGCCCAUCUGUUCUGUUCCUCUUUUACUCUGCAGUCACUUUCAUUUGUAUCUCAAAUCCUGACUGGCUUCCUUAGCCCUCCUUUAUCUUUGCAGCACUUCCUGUGGUUUGAGCAGAGGAAAUCUGGACUGUAGACCAGGUAGGAUGCUCCCGACUGGGAAGAGGACGAAGAGACAGAUCGGCGCCCCCCCUGCCCCACUGCCUGCGCCCUGCGCCUGGGCCUCAGACAGUGUUCUGGUUUGUGAGCAGGGCCGCAGAGCACCAGCGCGUCCCGGUGAAAAUCAACGGUGUCCUCACCACCGCCACUGUGUGAGCCUCCACAUGGGACGCGGCCGAGAACCAGCAUCUGGAUGAAGUUGGAUUCUUCCUGCACCCGGACAAACUGUAGGCGAUGCCCUCCCUGUCUCCUCACACUGAAGACUGAGGUGCUGUUGUUUGAUGGCGAGGAAAGUAAUUUUAGGAGUGGUUACCGACAGUCACCUGACACACUGAAACCUGCUUCCUGAGAGCCCAGAUGAGGGGGGCUCAGUCUGCAGUGGUCUGAAGUGGUUUUCUUGUCACCUGUGUUUUAGGAGUUAGUCUACAUAGUCUUGGAUUAAGUAUGAAAUAGGUGUCAGAAACCACAGCUUGAUUCUGAGAUCCAUUUGGCGCUUCAACGUGGAACGGAGGGAACAAACGCCCAACAAGGUAACGCAGAGAGCAUGUCGCGAAGAUCAAGUACACCAGCGUAAUCAGAAAUAUCACUACAGUGCUCGCAAGAAUCACAUAAAUCGAUAGUGAGGAGAAGCAGUUAGGUUCUGACACAGACACUUUUCUCUGUGCCCCAACUGUACUUUAAAAAUAUUGAGAAAGCAAAGAAAUAAUCCACCUUUCAAUGGCCAGCCCAUCACUUUCAAUAUACAUCUUCAUGCUUUGGAAAACCUUCAGUAUUUAAGCCAGCCCUUAAUUACCUCCAUCCCCACAUUCGGAAGCCAUUAUCCUGAGUGAGUAAAGGAAAAGUGUAAGACUUUAAAGAUAACAUUAGUAAAGUAAGAAUGGAUUGAUAUCCAGGCUGAGAUUAUGCCAUUUCCUAACUUCUCAGGGAAGAAUUAUUUUCAAUCGUCGAUACAUUGAGAAAACCCUUCUCAACUAGUGGCUUUUACUGUGACUGCUCUGAUGGCGUGACGGUUAGCUAGAGGUCCCACAGAGCUGAGUGCGGCCUCAGACGGAUGAGGGUGGGCGGGAGAUGAGUCCCAGGGCGGCCCUCAGGGACAGUCCUCUACAGGACACGGACACAGUGGACUGGCGGCUGUCACCUGCUCUCUGACACUUACUUACCCUGAGCUUUCGCCCGAAGACAUUGACUUUUCCUUGGGCUUGCUCUUUUCGGAAUCUCCACUCCACCAGGUUCUGACCGUUUUCACCGGGAAGCGUCAUGUUCCUUUUGGCGACGGUUGGAUUGGCCGUGCCCGCCAGCACGUGCGGCUCCGUCUGGUAGUGGGAGUCGAGGCCGCUGGCGUAGAUGACCCGCAGGGAGCCGUCGUAGCCGAUCUGGAAGCUGCUCCUCAGCUGGUCUGCGGAACGAGGAGCAGAGAACACGAACUACCAACACGGAUUAGCACUCUGUCGGCUACGCAGUUAGAAGUGAUGUCGAUUUCUCAGGUGCCGACUGGACUCCAUUUAUAAGGAAAUGAAAAACGCCUAAUGAUGUCUUCUUAGAAAAUAAUAGAACAACUGUGAUUUCUGGCGUUUCAUGCUGUAACAGGUUUGGCUAUUUUAAAGGAAAAUUUUAGGGGAAUUCAGAGCCCUUCUCCACCUUAAUAGGUUUCUUUUUCUCCUUUGCCUGACAAAUGAAUAAAGGCCCACCCUCUAGGGGCAAUGCAGUAAGUGUUUUGCAAAGAGCCAAGUAUGUGCCUUUUUGGAGGCCAGCAUGUCACCUCCAAUCUCUAGAAGAAGCACCCCCUCCCCCAUCCUGUGUCUUUUAUCAAUGAACUUCUGAAAAGAUUUCAUAUCUCUACCUUUUGUACUGAAAAUAUAAGGUGAUAGCCCUCCUGAAACUGACUAAAAAACCCAGUCAUCUUACAUUUGGCAGAAAAAACACUGUCAUAUAAAACUGAAGGCUGCUGCUUUGGUUUAAAAGUUUGUAUGACAUAGGACCACUCGGAGAAUGACUGAUUCCAGCAUCACUGAUUUUAGAUGACUGUGGAGAUUACCUGACAAAAUUGUAAAACAACAACAAAAAAAUGAUUCCAACAAGUUUAACUCAGAUUUGGCAAUUAAUUUCAGGGCCACAACCUCACAACUGCAAAUGCCACUGGAAACAGGCUUUUUCGGGAUGACUUCAGAAAGGAGUGUGGCAGGGGGCCCCAUCAUGGGGACACCGGACAUACGUGCCUCCAGAAUGCAGACACGCUGAGUUCCCAUGUUCCACAAAUGGGUCUUUGGGGUCGGGAACAAACUCCCGGCGACUGCGUCACACAGAUCCCUGGGCCAGUGUGGGUGACAUCAUCAAAAAGGGUCUGAUGAUGCACGUGAAGAGUGGCAACUGAGUAGUUCCAUCAAAUGGGAAUAACAAUCGUCACUAUUUCAAGGUUAAUGUAUAGUUUUAUAUCUUCUAUAACUUUAUAAUAUGUGUAUAUAACUCAAUAAACAUUACAUGUGGACAUUA